GGGUUGGUGAUCUAAUGGCUUUAGCUUCUGCUUUGCAAGCAGAAGGUCGUGGGUUCAAUCCCAAGCCCGCCCCU
rnacentral:tRNA from 1 species